CUCGUAGGCUGUUCGGUAAGUCAGGUGUGAAAACCCAAGGCUCAACCUUGGGACGCCACUUGAUACUGCUGUGACUAGAGUCCGGUAGAGGAGAUUGGAAUUCCUGGUGUAGCGGUGAAAUGCGCAGAUAUCAGGAGGAACACCAACGGCGAAGGCAGAUCUCUGGGCCGGUACUGACGCUGAGGAGCGAAAGCGUGGGUAGCGAACAGGAUUAGAUACCCUGGUAGUCC
rnacentral:rRNA from 1 species